CCUGGGUGUUGUGACUGAUGUUCUACUGAUAGUCAUCCUCAUCCUGGUCCUCAAGAUCAUACGAGAGGCAAAAACACACAACACAGGACCUGAUUCUCAAAGACAACCACAAAAUGAUCAGAACCAAGAUCCAGAUGAAUUGAAUUAUGCUGCCCUGAAUUUCACCUCCAAGAAGAGGAAGAU